rnacentral:rRNA from 1 species
ACGCUAGCGAUAGGCUUAACACAUGCAAGUCGAGGGGCAGCAUGGUCUUAGCUUGCUAAGACUGAUGGCGACCGGCGCACGGGUGCGUAACGCGUAUGCAACUUGCCUCACAGAGGGGGAUAACCCGUCGAAAGACGGACUAAUACCGCGUACACUCCAUUUUGGGCAUCCAAUGUAGAGGAAAUGAAAUUCGCUGUGAGAUAGGCAUGCGUCCCAUUAGCUAGUUGGUGAGGUAACGGCUCACCAAGGCGACGAUGGGUAGGGGAACUGAGAGGUUGAACCCCCACACUGGUACUGAGACACGGACCAGACUCCUACGGGAGGCAGCAGUGAGGAAUAUUGGUCAAUGGGCGAGAGCCUGAACCAGCCAAGUCGCGUGAAGGAUGACUGUCUUAUGGAUUGUAAACUUCUUUUAUACGGGAAUAACAAGAGUCACGUGUGACUCCCUGCAUGUACCGUAUGAAUAAGCAUCGGCUAACUCCGUGCCAGCAGCCGCGGUAAUACGGAGGAUGCGAGCGUUAUCCGGAUUUAUUGGGUUUAAAGGGUGCGUAGGCGGCCUGUUAAGUCAGCGGUGAAAUCUAGGAGCUUAACUCCUAAAUUGCCAUUGAUACUGGCGGGCUUGAGUGUAGAUGAGGUAGGCGGAAUGCGUGGUGUAGCGGUGGAAUGCAUAGAUAUCACGCAGAACUCCGAUUGCGAAGGCAGCUUACUAAGGUACAACUGACGCUGAAGCACGAAAGCGUGGGUAUCAAACAGGAUUAGAUACCCUGGUAGUCCACGCAGUAAACGAUGAUAACUGGGCGUAUGCGAUAUACAGUAUGCUCCUAAGCGAAAGCGUUAAGUUAUCCACCUGGGGAGUACGCCGGCAACGGUGAAACUCAAAGGAAUUGACGGGGGCCCGCACAAGCGGAG